rnacentral:miRNA from 1 species
GGCACAGUUUCAAUCUAAAGCUAAAAAUGUGUGUGUGUGUGUGUGUGUGUGUGUAUUUCAUUCACAAACACACACACACACACAUUCUUACACCCAAUA